GCCGUACCCGCACCGCAGCCACUCGCAGUCGCACAGGGGGUUCGCUGUCCCCACCCAGCACGUGGCAGGGAUGCAGGUGUUCCAAUCCGGGAUGCUCCCGCUCCAGGUGUGCCUGGGAUGGAGGAAGGAUUACUUUGAAGUGUACAGUAGCAAGUAAAUAAUUCUAGUUGUGUUGAUUAAUGUAAGGAAUGCGUCAAUUCCACGAAUGAGAGAAAAAAAAAAACCCUGAGAAGUGUAUUUUGAGAAAGCAUAGUAUUAAUUUUAAUAUUGUAAAGAAAAGAAAGGAAAAUAUCUAAAGUCUACAGAGCCCAGAUGUAUAUCCAGAUGUCUGAGGAAUUUCCAGGUGAUCCCUUUUGUUUUCUGUUGAUUUCUAUUCCAUGGUGUACAUAUUGUGUGGACUGAACAUCGGCUGCUUUAAUCCUGUUGUUCAACUGUAUUUUCUUUUGUGUUAACCUGAUCCCCCCCGGACUCAGCUUUAUUUUGUUGAUGUAAAGGUCGCUGUGCUCUGUAGCUAUAAACCCAGAAUUCUAUUUUAACAAGAGAAAAAAGCAUUUUAUAUUAUUUAUUAAAUACGUGUUUCUCCGACUUCUGACAUUCCGCAGAAUCUCUGCUCCGGACAGGUAUGGAACCAGCAGCUCCUUUCGAGCAGGAUCAGCUUUAUUCUGGUUUUCGUAAUAAAGGCACCCCAGUUUCCCUCA